GUUCAAUUACAUUGUUGCUGAUAAGCCAGUCUGCAAGCUCUUUUGCAAUUGACGUUUCUGUGUCUGAAACUAAUGACUCAUUAUUACAGACAUCAUUGAAGGUAUGAAGUUGAUUUGUUAUUUGACUGAGCCCAGCCAAUCUCAUUGUUAGAGUUGGAGACAUAAAGUAUUUAAAUGCAAGAUCAAGACUUUCUUUAUCAAAGCACAAAGCAGUAUCCAGAGGUUCUUUAACUGUG
rnacentral:lncRNA from 1 species